AUGCCUUAAACUAAUGAGUAAGGAAAAUAAAAAGCUUGGUUGGUUCCAGGCUUCUGAUUAACAUAUCAGAUGAAUUUCUUCAGGGGUACAGGUCGCCCCUGGGUGACCUUCCUACUUUGAGGGAUGCCCUUGUGUAGUGAUCUGCCCC